UGCCAAUGGCACUGCCCGGUAGCUAAAUGCGGAAGAGAUAAGUGCUGAAAGCAUCUAAGCACGAAACUUGCCCCGAGAUGAGUUCUCCCUGAGACUUAAAGUCUCCUGAAGGAACGUUGAAGACGACGACGUUGAUAGGCCGGGUGUGUAAGCGCAGCGAUGCGUUGAGCUAACCGGUACUAAUGAACCGUGAGGCUUAACCUUACAACGCCGAAG
rnacentral:rRNA from 1 species